rnacentral:lncRNA from 1 species
CCCAUUUGUACUGUGGUGUUGAGUACAUGUCUGCUUUGGCUGGACCAUUCUCUAAUGGCAGUGAGGGGUGGAUGGUGUGAUAGUCAGCAGGAUUCCCGUUCACUGUUACCAGCAGAACUUUUCUCUCAUCAGUUGUAUAGUGGCUUGCGUACCACAGACUGCGUCUUCUCUCUGCUGUCAUUGGAAUUGGGCUGCAGGGUAUCUCUUUGUCAUCUUCCCUGCUCUCAGAUUUCUC